AAACCCUGCGUGCGGGGAGAAAAAUGCACUAAAGGAGCCAUCCUCGGGUUUCCAGGGAAAAUGCAGUGAAGCGGUGGUUUCGGGGUCAAGUGCCCAGCGCUGGGCCCACCCGCGGAACGGAAGCCCGUGGAGGGAGAAGACGUCACUCUUCCUCUGGGGAUGAAGCUCGGGUUCGCCUCAAAUUCGGGCUGCAAAGGCACUGCCGUUCCGGGGGCUCCUCUCGCCCCCUCCCUCAUGCGCAGAGGCACGCGCACGCGCACGCACGCACAGGUGUCCGGCUGACCCCUCCCUGGCGUGAUUCAUUCAACAUGGCAGUUCCCAUACUCAUCGCACAAGGCGUGGACGACACAAAGAGAUGGCUUGCCUGCAAGAGACCCAGCUGGUCCAGAGUCGGAGGCACAUUUCAUUUCUCUGGCCAGCUGGAGAGGCGGCCGGAGCAGACGAGGAGAUCGCCUCUAAUGUUCUAAAUGUCAAUAUGGUCCCUACUGGCUGACUCGCCAAGAUUUGAUCAGCAAAUUGGCCUGCGUGAUGUGUUCCCUGCAAUGCACGCAUCUUCUGCAAUCAGGAUGGGAGUACCCAGGUCAUCAUGAG
rnacentral:lncRNA from 1 species